rnacentral:rRNA from 1 species
GAUGAACGCUGGCGGCGUGCCUAAUACAUGCAAGUCGAGCGAAUGGAUUAAGAGCUUGCUCUUAUGAAGUUAGCGGCGGACGGGUGAGUAACACGUGGGUAACCUGCCCAUAAGACUGGGAAAACUCCGGGAAACCGGGGCUAAUACCGGAUAACAUUUUGAACCGCAUGGUUCGAAAUUGAAAGGCGGCUUCGGCUGUCACUUAUGGAUGGACCCGCGUCGCAUUAGCUAGUUGGUGAGGUAACGGCUCACCAAGGCAACGAUGCGUAGCCGACCUGAGAGGAGGAUCGGCCACACUGGGACUGGGACACGGCCCAGACUCCUACGGGAGGCAGCAGUAGGGAAUCUUCCGCAAUGGACGAAAGUCUGACGGAGCAACGCCGCGUGAGUGAUGAAGGCUUUCGGGUCGUAAAACUCUGUUGUUAGGGAAGAACAAGUGCUAGUUGAAUAAGCUGGCACCUUGACGGUACCUAACCAGAAAGCCACGGCUAACUACGUGCCAGCCGCCGCAGUAA